AUUGAACGCUGGCGGUAUGCUUAACACAUGCAAGUCGAACGGUAACAGGCCUUCGGGCGCUGACGAGUGGCGGACGGGUGAGUAACGCGUAGGAAUCUGCCCUCGAGUAGUGGGGGACAACGUGGGGAAACUCACGCUAAUACCGCAUACGCCCUACGGGGGAAAGCGGGGGUAUCUUCGGACCUCGGCGCUAUGAGAUUGAGCCUGCGUUAGAUUAGCUAGUUGGUAGGGUAAAGGCCUACCAAGGCGACGAUCUAUAGCUGGUCUGAGAGGACGAUCAGCCACACUGGGACUGAGACACGGCCCAGACUCCUACGGGAGGCCAG
rnacentral:rRNA from 1 species